GUCCAAGGUAGCCUAGUAGACAUGGCAUCUGCCGGGUAAGCGGAACACUGUGUGGGUUCGAUUCCCAUCCCUGGACA
rnacentral:tRNA from 1 species